GGUCUUCUUGGCCUCUGUUUCCCGGAAGUGGUUUCCCUCCACCUCCUCAGGAGGGCCGGCCUUCCCUAAGGGCGGAGUCUAGGGCUUCUUUGGGACUGAAUAUGCAUUAGCUUUUGGAAGUCCAGCUUUGAUUUUCCCCUAAGCAUUGCUACAAAGGCCGGACUGCGGCUCUGGGCACCGUUCACAUCCUCGGCCGCCUUUGGCUUUGUGACCUUGGGCCGGUUGUAUAAGCUCUCUGAGCUUCCCAGGUGACUUCUCUGCAAAGUGGGCUGGUAACGCCCGAGUUGGUGCUAAAUCCUAAAGUUCAUGCUGCGAACCGGGCCCUCAACAGAUCAGCCUCUGUUUGGUCUGGUGGCAGGCCCCACGGGCUCCUGAGAGACGUGAGAAGCAGCUUUGUAUGGGAGCCACCUCUGCUCGCGUUUCCACCCAGAACCAAAGGACUGACCAUUCUUUCAAUCCCUAAGCGGUGUCUUUUCUAUCUAAUCCUAAUAACCAAGCCUGGAGGAAUUGCAGACUUUCUGGUUGAAGGUUCAACAGGUCUCCUCGUUUAAGGAUAGAGUAAGUCUCACUGAAGCUACAGAGGAGAAUCUGGAAAAUGCAAAUGUUACUACCUUAACCGAAAAAGGGAGGAGGGGGCGCUCUCCUAAAUGGCCUUUACCUUGGACCUUUUCCUUCUCCUGGCAUUUGGGCUGCCAGGGAUCUUGCUUCUGCCCCACCAACACACUGAAAGCAAGAGCUCUUGACGUGAUGACUAAGGAAAAGAAUUUGGUUUUCAUUUGGAGACAGCUGAUUCUGAAGCCAUCUUAAAGCCUAAGCAUAGCACAACUGCAUUCAUGAUUCUAUGAAUUCUUUCCUACCAUUGGAACUUAGGGAAGGGGAGAGGAAGUGUGCAUCUAGGAAAUGUGGAAGGACAAGCUCUUCGUUCUUUCAUCCUUCCGCUGCCUUCUAACUCUGUGGUCGAGUGUGGUCUUCCCAGGAGAGCAUCUUCCAGGAAACUUAUUAGAAAGGAAGAACCCCAGGCCUCAUUUCACAUCUGAAGCAGAGUCUGCCUUGUAGCCGACUCCUCAGCCAUUGCUAGGCAUGCUAAAGUUGACAAGGCCCUGGUUUAACUCCUGGGGUGGUCUGGUUUAAAGUGAUGAGAUGGCAUCAAAGAUGACGGAAGGACAGAGUCCACAGAGCCAGAAUUUGGGGCAGUGGAGGCAGAGCACCUAUUUCCUGCAUUUGGGCACUGCCAGCAGGUUGAUUCAGAAGAUGGGUGAAAAAUUUGUUCCUGGGGUAGCAGGAGGAGCACCACGACUUUGGAAUCUUUUGCUUAAAAGAAGGAUGAGCUCGGCUGUUCAUACCAUACAUCCCGGAGGUCUUCAGCAAGGUGAGCUUCCUCUGACCAAGAAGCCGGCUGCCCAGAUGCGCUAAGCACGCCUCCCUCACAUAUUCCGGUGUCAUGCUCCAUCAUAAGUGACUAGACAUAGUUCCAGUGCUACCCAGCAGGAUCUCAUUGCUCAUGCAUUCCAAAGGCAAGAGUCUGCAUCUCAAAAAAUCAAAUACCUGGGAAUACACCUGACCAAGGAGUUCCUGAGCAUUGACCACAAUAGCCCUUUCGGUGGUCCUGGUGGCAGCCGUCCAGCCAGUUCUGCUGUCGUCUUUCUCGUGUGUUCCCAGCUGACACUACGAUUCAGCUCAGAAAAAGCUGGUGUUCAUUUAGUGGGUUCUCUUAAUCGUCAACGUUGGAUGACCAAUAAAUCUGCUCAAUAACAGGAAAGGGUCCCCACCUGGCAGACCCUCCUCGCGCGUGGGCCGGCAACGUGAUUUAAAGCAGCCAAUCGCGUCCUUCCGUGAGAAAGAGGUGGAGUUUUGUGUCUUGUUGCCACAGAGCCAGCUUCUGCCAGCCCCGCAGGUUCACGCUGCUCCUAGCUGGGCUUCACGUGCUGGGAGCUGUCUUCCCCCCAAAUGUUUCUGGCUUCACGAGGAUGAGACUGAGAACCAAAGAAGAGGCGGUUUCUGUCUUCGGAACCCACAGCUGAGUGGAGGAUUCAGAUGGUGGAGGUGAAGGUGCUGGUGGAUGAUAUAUCAGAAGUGACACCCCGGAACAGAGACCGCCUGUGACUGGAGCCCCAUUCCUGGCUGAACUGUACUGGGAAGAGCAGACCUGAGCAAGAUCUCUGAGACUUGGCCUCUGGCUUGAAGGUUGGACCACGGUGAGACUGAGAAGGCGCUUCCUGGAGGCCCCCAUUGACUCUGAAAGUUUCCAGUCUGGAAGAAAGAGAGCAGGUCGCUGCAAGCACUGAGGAUGAAAAGCCUCUGGAAACAAGGAACCGCCAGGCUUGGUCAGUGCCCCACCUGGAGAACAAGACCAGGUAGGUGACAGAAAUGAAGGGCAUGUCUGCUGAAUGAAUGUAUAGACAAAAUCAGUCGGUGACCUUAUGGGAAAAGGAAUCUCCCAGGUUUUCCUCUGCAGCAGUUUACGGACUCGUGCUUUGGAACAGCGUUCUUCUCGCUCACCUGCAGAGAUGCAGUGUGCCGGCCGCACCUCGGCGUG
rnacentral:lncRNA from 1 species